GAUGAACGCUAGCGGCAGGCUUAAUACAUGCAAGUCGAGGGGCAGCAGGACUGUAGCAAUACAGUUGCUGGCGACCGGCAAACGGGUGCGGAACACGUACGCAACCUACCCAAAACUGGGGGAUAGCCCGGGGAAACCCGGAUUAAUACCUCGUAACCUUUUUAAGUGGCAUCACUUGAUAAGUAUAGCUCCGGCGGUUUUGGAUGGGCGUGCGCCUGAUUAGGUAGUUGGUGCGGGUAACGGCCCACCAAGCCUGCGAUCAGUAACUGGUGUGAGAGCACGACCAGUCACACGGGUACUGAGACACGGGCCCGACUCAUACGGGAGGCAGCAGUAAGGAAUAUUGGUCAAUGGACGCAAGUCUGAACCAGCCAUGCCGCGUGAAGGAUGAAGGUCCUCUGGAUUGUAAACUUCUUUUAUGGGGGACGAAACCCGGAUAUUCUUAUCCGAUUGACGGUACCUCAGGAAUAAGCACCGGCUAACUCCGUG
rnacentral:rRNA from 1 species